GAGGGAAUGAAGUCAGCUGCUGAACAAAUGAGGAGUAGAAAACGGGAUUCCCCAGGUGGCUGGGGCUGGUGAGGACGGUGCAGGAGGAUACAUGGCAGAGCGCGGGGCAGGGGUGGCAUGUGUGGCGACCCCGUACUUGCCCAUGGGGGCCACCAGCGCUGUCACUUUACUGGUGUGGACUGGGAGCGAGGUAUUCAAGUCCUGCCCUCAAUUCUCAAGAGGAUGGACACUGCUCUCGUGGAGGUGUGGAGCAGAUUCCUCAGCAGCAGUGAGACUUGGAGCCCUGAGAUAGAUAAACUGAGACAAGGUGGAGCUGCCCGAGCCCCUCUCAGACCAUGCUUCAAGUGUGACAAAGAAGGACAUUGGACAAGAGAGUGCCCCAACCCCAGUGUUCUUCUGGGGCCUUGCCCCUAUUGCAAUUGUAAAGGCCAUUGAAAAAGCAACGGACUGUCCUACCACCAGAGAGCAGGUAAGCCAUCCUCUAACUCCUUGCCUUCACAGGAAAUCUUGUCACCACCGGAUUCAUCACUGGCUGAUCUACUUGGACGUGCUGCUGAAGACUGAUGGGGCUCAGGGCCCACAGUCCUCCAUUAAGAUAUCCUUCUCAGAGUCCCAAAUCCCACUGGAGGUCUCAGGUAAGACAUUCUCUGUAGUUGCGGACAUAGAGGCCAUAUAUAGUGUUCUUCCUGAGUUUUCAGGCUGCUAUAUUAAGCCCUCAGUCUCUAUAGUGGGUGAUGAUGGCCAACCAACACAGCCUUUGCAGACAGGACCUAUUCCAGGUUCCAGACUCACUUCUUCUCUGGUCUAUCCCAUAGUUUGAGAUAUCUCUAAUCCCACCUGCACUACCCAUGCCAUGCCUAUUUUAAUUAAUCUCAGGGAUCCUUCAAUUUUUCCUUGCAUUCCCCAAUACCCCACAGCUCCCAAGCUUUUACAGGUCCUUAAACCUAUAAUCAAGCACAUUUUAGACAAUGGUUUUCUUAAACCUCCCAUUCACCCUAUAAUACUCCCAUUCCCCUGGUAUUCAAGCCUGAUGGGUCUUAUCAUCUAGUGCAAGAACUUGGGGGUAAUAAAUAAUGCCAUUACCCCAAUCCAGCCAGUAGUCCAAGCCCUUAUACGAUGCUCUCUCAUAUCCCUCCCUCUACCACUAACUUUACAGUCAUAGAUCUUAAAAAUGUCUUUUUUUUUAUUCCUUUGUGUUUAUGCAGACUGACCCAGAUACUCUGAGGUCUCAACAACUUACACCUGUCAUCUCUAUAAGAAACCUCUCCCUAGGGAGACAUACCACCCCCUUCUUUUCCUAUUCAUCAAUUUCACAGACACACUCCUGGUCAGGACUGACAGGUAGAUUUUACACACAUGCCCACCACAAAACUCAAAUAUCUUCUCACCUUUGUUUGUCCUUUUCCAGGAUAGAUAAAAGCCUUUCCCACAACCAGGAAGACUGGUGAUUUACUUACUAAAGUCCUGUUAACAGGAAAUCAUCCCAAGGACUACAACUAAGGUGGAGCAGCCCCUACUUGAUCUUCUUGGCAACUACAACAGUGGUCACAGUUGCUGGACUGCCAUCCUGGUUCUACAUCACUCAAGCUAAGUGGUGCCCUCCCUGCCCUAAAUCUAAGCAUCCUGAGUGGUCAUCUCAUCUUCUAUCUCCCACCCAUCUCUGUCUCACCAAGGCCUCACAGCCACAACUCUCGGGUUAAGUCAUGUUUUGUUGUCCUGUUUGGUCCCUGAUGCCUUACAUUCUAUUGGUGAAUUUUUUCACUAUAACUAUCUUAGUUCUCUCCACCCUCAGCUGUUUAGUUAAACAUGAGACUCCUGUAGGUCUAAGAUCUCAUGUCACUUAUAGUGACACAGCCAUAGCCCUCCCACCCCUCUUAUUUUUUCCAGCUCAAGCCCUACAUACCUACUUUUUAACUGUUACCCUUUCAGAUGGAGACAGAAUGACCUCUCAUAACUUCACUCCUCCUAAUCCCUCACUUAUUUUUCAGAAUUCUCCCUCACUGUGGUCCUGAUGGAAUGGCAUAGUGAAACCUUUCCUUCUACCUCACCUGGAUCCUUAAAUAUGAUAGUGGCCUGCCUUCUCGUGGCACCUUGUCUCUUUGUUUUUCCAGUCUAAGAUGAAGGCAUUCACCAAUGAUGAAGUUUUCCUGCCUGAAACACCUGGCACCAGCUUCUACAUGGGCAUCAACAAUCAUCCUGUCAACCUUCCUGAACCCCAAUAUGACACCCCAUUCAGCAAGAAGUAGUAAGACAGAGACUUCACCCUUUUCCUAACAAUAAAAUGAUGGGAAUGAAAGGUUCUUGCCCUAGUAUAAAUUACUAUAUAGUUAUGGCCGUGGUCUAAUGUGGUGGAAGGCCAAAGCAGAAACACCUACCACUUCCUGCUUUUUCCUCAGCCUCAAUUGUAACUCCCCUUCCUGUCUGCAUUCGAAGAAAACUCCAAUCAUCUCAUGCAUCAUCAAUACCCACCCUAAGCACCACCCCUGCUCAAAGGUUACAUUUGUCCCAUACCCCCAUUAUCUGGUCGAAGGAGGCAGCCUCCAUGGGUUUUGUGCUCCUUUCCAUGUUCUCAUUUCAAUAAAGUUGUUCUCUUUGCA